AGCACUUGUUCAGGCUGUGACCACAGAAAAAAAGUGAAGGCUUUGUGAGAACAAAGAUGCCAUAAAAUGUUCACAAAGCUUCUUACACUGGAAGGACCUUGGAAUCAAUAAGGUGCAGGACCAAAUUUUAAGCCUUUAUGAUGUAAUUGUGGACCUGGUUAGAAUACUUUCCUAGGAACUUCAAGCACUGAAAUCUACCUUACACCAUGGGUUGUGUCUGAUGUCCAGGCUUUGUAAAUUGGGAGAAUGAAGAAGGAGAAAAGCAACAUGACAUGAAUCAUCAGGUAGCUCAGUGGCAAAGCUGGGGGAGAAUUCAGGAAGUGACAGUUGUUCACAUUGCAUGAAACUGAUGGGCAGAGGACCACAAGUUCUACUGAUAUCAGAUUUGGUUGAAGUUUGAUCAUUCUCAAGCCACGGAAAUGACAGUCACACUGCAUGACUGCCAAAGCCUUGUCUCUUGGAAACCAUCCUACAAAAGCUUCUGGAUCAUGAAAAGAUUAGAUACAGCUAAUUAUUUCUCAGAUGAGAACAUUUCCCAUGGAUUCUCAAACUCCUGUCUGUGAAUUACUUGUAGUAGGCCAAUUCCUUUGUGGAGCUUCCUAAUAUGCAGAAAUGCCACUGGAACAGAUUUCCACAAAGUUUCAGAGCUCAUUUCAAGCUUACAUAAACCAGCUCUUAGCCUUGGACCUAUAACAUAAAAUACAGCAAUUAUACAAGCCACUCAACAUCAGUUUU